rnacentral:rRNA from 1 species
GACGAACGCUGGCGGCGUGCUUAACACAUGCAAGUCGAACGGUUAAGCGCCUUCCUUUUUGGUGGGUGUGGAUGAGUGGCGAACGGGUGAGUAACACGUGAGUAACCUGCCCCCUUCUUCUGGAUAACCGCAUGAAAGUGUGGCUAAUACGGGAUAUUCUGGGUCUGUCGCAUGAUGGGUCUGGGAAAGAUAUUGUUUCGGUGGGGGAUGGGCUCGCGGCCUAUCAGCUUGUUGGUGGGGUGAUGGCCUACCAAGGCGGUGACGGGUAGCCGGCCUGAGAGGGUGGACGGUCACACUGGGACUGAGACACGGCACAGACUCCUACGGGAGGCAGCAGUGGGGAAUAUUGCACAAUGGGCGCAAGCCUGAUGCAGCGACGCCGCGUGAGGGAUGGAGGCCUUCGGGUUGUGAACCUCUUUCGCCAGUGAAGCAGGCCUGCCUCGUUUGUGGGUGGGUUGACGGUAGCUGGAUAAGAAGCGCCGGCUAACUACGUG